CUACGGGAUGCAGCAGUGGGGAAUAUUGGACAAUGGGGGAAACCCUGAUCCAGCAAUGCCGCGUGUGUGAAGAAGGCCUGCGGGUUGUAAAGCACUUUCGGUUGGGAGGACUGCUUCUAGCACUAAUAUUGUUGGAAGUUGACGUUACCUUCAGAAGAAGCACCGGCUAACUCCGUGCCAGCAGCCGCGGUAAUGCGGAGGGUGCAAGCGUUAAUCGGAAUUACUGGGCGUAAAGCGCGCGUAGGCGGCUAGAUCAGUCGGGUGUGAAAGCCCCGGGCUUAACCUGGGAACUGCAUCCGAUACUGUCUAGCUUGAGUACAGGAGAGGAGAGUGGAAUUCCACAUGUUGCGGUGAAAUGCGUAGAUAUGUGGAGGAACACCAAUGGCGAGGGCAGCUCUCUGGCCUGAUACUGACGCUGAGGUGCGAAAGCGUGGGGAGCAAACAGGAUUAGAUACCCGAGUAGUC
rnacentral:rRNA from 1 species